AGAGUUUGAUCAUGGCUCAGGACGAACGCUGCGGCGCGCCUCAUACAUGCAAGUCGAGCGAGAACCAGGGCUUGCCCUGGGGAGAGCGGCGAACGGGUGCGUAUCACGUGAGCAACCUGCCUCAGAGACCGGGAUAACCCGAGGAAACUCGAGCUAAUACCGGAUGCCCUCGGUGGAUCGCAUGGUCCGGCGAGGAAAUGGAUUCCGCUCUGAGAUGGGCUCGCGGCCUAUCAGCUUGUUGGUGGGGUAAUGGCCUACCAAGGCGACGACGGGUAGCUGGUCUGAGAGGACGAUCAGCCACACUGGGACUGAGACACGGCCCAGACUCCUACGGGAGGCAGCAGUAGGGAAUCUUGCGCAAUGGGCGAAAGCCUGACGCAGCGACGCCGCGUGCGGGAUGAAGGCCUUCGGGUCGUAAACCGCUUUCAGCAGGGACGAAAUUGACGGUACCUGCAUAAGAAGGCCCGGCCAACUACGUGCCAGCAGCCGCGGUG
rnacentral:rRNA from 1 species